CACGAUCAAUGCAAGAGCUGGCUAGAAAGGACUUUGAAAAUUUGAGGCAAGAUAGUGAUGAAGGUGAACCACAAGUGAAAGUUGUGAGGAGAGGAAGGCCACCUGGAAAGAGUCUCAAAAAGUCAUUGGUUUCAUCGUCAUCUAUUGACCAUGUUGGUUCCGAGUGCUCCUCAGGUGCAACUCUAGCUGCUGGACGAGAUGCUUCCAUUCUUUCAAACACUUACAAUUUGAGGAAAGGACCUAAUUCCCUCAAGCUACGGCCUGCUGAUGCAUUCAUCAGGCCCUCCUGGGGUUCUCCUAGCAAAGAAAAUCAUGCCAUUUGUUCAUCUGAAUGGGAGAAUGAAUUUCCAGGUUUGGUAUUUAUCUGACUUUAUAUACAUAUCCUCAAGUCUUUAGCUUUUUUUAUGUAAAAUGUUAUUUACUACAUAUUUUCAAUAUUUCAUAUUGAGCUAUUUUUCUCUCGUUUUGUAGCUUCUGUUGUGAGGGCUGUGAUGAAGUAUGGGAUGAAACAUUUUGCAGUAGAUGAGAACAGGCGUGACACCUACAACCACUCAUCGACUUCUGGACAUGAGCAACGUACCUUUUCCACCUUGGAUGGAGAAUUGAAGCAACUAAUUCCGGUGUGUUUUAUGUUUGUAUAAUGGCAAUAACAGUUAUUAAUGCAUUAGUUAGAAGAUUAUUGUAUGAGCUGUAUAGCUGGAAUGUGUGAUCGACCCUAUACUCAUUGAGUGCAGGUAAGGAAUCCUAAACUUUUUGUUUAUUAAUAAACUGCAUACAAAGUUGUGGUGCAGGUAGGCUUGCGCUGGUAAUUUGUUAUGUUUAUAUAUCUAGCCAAAAGGAUGUUCAAGUAUUCUGACAACUAGUGUUUAUGGGGGAACAAUAAAAAACUAUCCAGAUCAGCGGCAGAAUAGAAUGCUCAAUCCCUUAUAUUGACUAAUUCUUUUUAUCUCCCUCAAUUUUAUUUUGGUCAAUUGUAUUGUUUAUCAGGUUGGUUUGACUGCAGGAAAUGGUAAGCCUUUUUUUCCCCUUUCAUUGUCCAUCAGGUUGGUUUGAGUGCAGAAAAUGGUUAUGCUACAAGCUUGGCACGUUUUGCUGCAAAUCUUGGACCUGUUGUGUGGAAAAUUGCUUCAAGGAAAAUUGAAAGUGUUUUGCCUAGUGGACUCAAGUUUGGUCCUGGAUGGGUUGUAGAAAACAGGACAGUUGAGCAGCCACAAUGUUCCUUAUCUGAUAAGCAUAGAACUCCGAAUUCUCUAUCUGAUAACCCUCCUGGCAGAUUUUUAUCUACAGCCACUUCUGGUUCAAACUCCAUUGCUGCAAGUAGAUUUCCUUUGCAAGGUAGAGAAGACAUGGAAACUGUCGUAGGCCUAACUUCUCAAAAUGACUCGACUUCUGCACCUUCUCAUCAGCUUCAGCAAAGUCUUGUCCCACACACGGGUAUCAAUGGUUCUAUUGGUGGGUUUGGGUUUGGUUAUUACUCUCAAAUGGGGUUGGUAACACAGUGUGUAAAUUCCUUGUCUGAAAAGACUUCAGUGCCGGCUCAAACACAUGUCAUGGUUUCGGGUGCUAGUAAUUCUCUUCCAAAAGAGGCCAAGCUGGCAGAUAGUUCAAUCACUUUACAUUCUGGAAAUGCAAUGGCUGUGGAGCCUGAAAUGGUGUCACAUGCGGCAGCAACUAAUGUCGGGCUUCAGCGGAGUUCCUAUAAUGAACCGAAUUUCCUUCCAUUUGCUCCUGAUCUUAAUGUGAGAUUUCUGGCACUGGGUUCACCUAGUUCUAGUGUGCCAAUUGGUUCAUCCCAGCGCCCUGAUUUAGCAUUGCAGCUCUAAUAAUCAGCCAACACGAUUUCCGUAUGAUGUGGCUUGUAUGUGCUAAUUGUAGUAUUAGGUCAAGUACGCCUGUAUAUGAUGAUAAGAUUUGGUCGAAUUUACUGACUACAUUCUUCAUUGGAAGGUCCGUUGAGUAGUGGUUCCUCAAGAAGUCAUAGGAUCAGAUUGUAGGUGAGAUUUUGUACAGAUUGGUAUGUCAAAUUCUUUCACAGGGUUAAAAAAUUACAGAUUUGUAUGCAACAUACGGUAUCUAACAUUGUAUAUUUUGAGUUGUUAAUGAAUAUUGUUACCAAUACUACUACUGGUAUUACGUACGAGAUAUCAUUCAUGUCAUGAAUUAUGAAAUGUUCAUGUUUGGAGCAAUGAAGUAAUGCUUAAACUAAUUGAUGCAAAAUAGAGAGCAACUGAUUGCUAAGGGGGGUUGAGUGAUGUUAUAUAAAUGGCAAUUAUAUAUACAUGCGCAUAUAUAAUUAUCUUUAUGUGCAUAUAAAAUUGUCUUUAAAAUUGUGUCCCAUUAUCUAUUAUUAACCAUUGGGAAAACUAUAUCAACAAAUGAUGGUUUUCCAUACAAAUAUCUCCAUGUGUCUUUGAUGCCUUUGGAAAUUAGAUCCGUAUAGGAUUACCUGUGUUGGUUUGUGAUAGGACAUGAUAGAGUCCAUGUGUCGCAUGAUUAGCGAAGUAUUCUAGCAAAUUAUAGUCCUUUGACGAGAUACAGAAAGUAUGACUUGGUAUCUUGAUGGACAAGAUGUGAGCCAUGCGAGGUACACUUAUGUCUGAGGUCUAACCAACUCCAACAUUACAUUUAACAUAUAAUUUAUUUAUGUAAUUCGUAUAACACAAAAUAUUAAAUAUUUGUAACAAUUUCUCUUAUUACAUAAAUAUUAUUAAUGUUGUAAUAAUUUGUGUAAUUAAAUAAUAUUUUAUAAGAUUACACUAAAUACUUUAAAAUUUAAUAUUUUAAUUACAAAAUAUUUUGGAAAGCUCAUCCUCUUAUUUUGUGCUCAAGGUAAAAGUAAAGUAAUAGUUUAGUAGUAUAAUGAUUUAUUUAGCUCUCUAAUUUCAUAAAAAAGUUAUUUUAGUUAUUUUUUUAAUUUUUUUUGUCUUUUAUACAUGUUGAACUUCUAUUUUUUUUAAAUUAUCCAAAAAUAGAUGAAAAAAUUAAUGUUAUUUAAUAUUACUGAUUUGGUAUAUACAUAGAUUGUCAUGUAGAUGAGAUGUUAGCAUUUAAUUAAAUUUUAAAAAAAUUUAAAAUAUUUAAAAAGUAUUUUUUAUAAAAAAAUUAAAAAUCAUUAAAAUUUUUAAAACUUAAAAUAAUUAAUUGAAUACUAGUGUGUCAUCCACGUGAUGCUCUACAUGUAUGUAAUGUUAACAAAAUAAAAAAAAUAUUAAUUUUUUAUCUAUUUUAAAGUGAUUUAAUAAAAAAAUAUAAAUUUAAAGACUAAAAAAUAUCAAAAACUAAAAUAACCUUUUUAUAAAAUUAGAGGGUAAAUAAAUAUUAUACCUAAAUUGAUUUACCACAAAAGAGGUGCAACGCUGCAAAUCAAUGCAACUUAGUUUCACGUGAGUGCUGGGCACGCGGACAUCCUUCUAUUUCACGUGACUUUCCCUCCACGCUGGCAUCUGUUCCCCCCUGUCUUCUCCCAAUGUUCCUUCAUAUUAAAAACAUAAUAAAAAAGUAAAUAAUAUAAAAUAAAUAAAUCAAACAGAAAUCCAAAGAUUGUUUAGAUAGCAAAAAAAAAAAAAAAAAACGAAAAGGAAAAAGCAAUGGGAGGUGGUGGUGGUGGUGAGAUAGCAGCGGAGACAAGGAAGAAGAGGAAGAAGGGAAGGCCCUCUCUCUUAGAACUUCAAAAACGCUCUCUCAAACAACAACAACUGCAGGAGCCGCAGCAACCGCAAUUGCUUCUUCAAAAAACCCCUAAUUCUUCUAUCAAUUCGAACCGCCGAUCCACUCGCCGCCACCCAAAUCUCAACGGUGGGUCCCCAGUUUCCGGAUCGAUUUCCGGAGGAGAAGACGACGACGACGACGACCGCCUACAGAAGAAGCAUAAACCAUUGCUUGGUUUCAAUUCUUCUCGUACUGAUCAGCAUUAUCCGAUUCCUUCGGCGCUCAAUUCGGCCUCCUAUGGGUCCGAUUCGAAUGCGGAUGGUGACAAUCCCGACGCGUCACUCAAACGUCGCAAGUUUACCGCCGCCAAGCCUGGAUCUGAUCAAAUGGUGAUAAAUCAUACAUUAAUAUAUAGAUUUCGCGGGUUUUUUAAAGUCCUGGUUUUGAAACAGAAUCAAGAAAUUGAUUUUCCUACUUUAUUUGGAUAUUUUAUUUUAGGGUUUUAUUUUGGGAAUCGAAAAUAGCUUCUCAUGCGCCGAAAUUUUAUAAUUGCAACAGAGAUGAACGAAUGAGUUUGACUAAGUCAUGUACCUUUUUUUAUUGGAUAUUGUUUCAACUUUUUGAUUUUCGGCUAAACUUCAAGUUGUUUUGAACAUAGUUUGUCUUCCUUUUCUUUCCCGAUUUACGAAUUUUCCAUUAUUAUUUUAUUAUUUCUUGUCUUGGAUUUAAUCCUUCCUUUAUUUUUGUGCAAAAUAAUAGAUGCACAGACCAUCAUGUCUGUAAAGCUUCAGUUUGUCUUUUCUUUUCUUUAAUAAUAAUACUUCAAAGUUUUUGUUUUUUUUUGUUUUUGGUACUUGCUUUGCAUUGUUGUAGCUUUUUACUGUAACUUUCCUCAGUGAUUCUUCAAUAAUCAACGCAAGUAUCUCUUUUAAUAGUUUUUUUUUCAUUUAAUUUGGGAGUUAAAUAAAUAUAUGUAUUGACACGAGAGUUUAUCUUACUUACAGGGAGAAAAGUUAUCGAAAGUGACGGACACUCUUCAUGGUAUAAGUCUAUCUCGGUUUUCAUGAAAAAAAGGCAUUUCUGGGAAUUCUUAGAAAAAAAGAAGUGUUGGGCUUUGUUAACUAUAUUAAUUUUAUUUCAUUUAUAUGUGGACAGGGUCACCGGUGGAGUCUGGCCCCACCCCCACGACGCCUUUGCCAGACAAAAAGUUGUUGGUGUUCAUUCUUGACAGGCUUCAAAAGUAUUUGUUAUUUUUGGCUCAUUUGAUUUUUUUUUUCUUAGUUUAUCUUCCGUUUGACGGGUUUUUAUCCUUUUUACUUAAUCUACUUCCAGGAAAGAUACUUAUGGGGUAUUCUCUGAGCCAGUAGAUCCUGAAGAGGUGCAUUUUGUUUUUCAUUCUUGCAUAAAUCUAGAUUACUGAAAAGUGAAAUCACGGUUCCUGAUAUAAUGUUGGAUUGGUCUUGAUACAGCUUCCAGAUUACCAUGAUAUUAUUGCACACCCAAUGGACUUUUCGACAGUCAGGAAAAAACUUGAUGAGGGAGCUUAUAUUACCUUAGAACAAUUUGAGGUUUGUUUUGCAAGCAUUCUCUUUGCUAAUGUGGAUAAAAUGUUCGUCUAUCCGUCUUCCUCCUGACAUAGUGGAGAGGGAAAGCCAACUAAGUUGUUUGAUUGCAUUACUGUCAAUGGUGAUUAAGUUUCUGAUGUUAUUUUCUGGAUUUCUCUGGUUGAUGUGUGUUUUUGUAGCAAUUGUAUAUGGCAUAUGGCAAGUCAAGUGCGUGUUGUCAGUCAAGCAAGUCCUUGAAGAAUACUGGAGGCAUGCUAUGCCUUUUGAGAUUACUGUAGUAACGAUGUUGGCUAUGAUGUUUAAGUACUUCAUUAAGUUCACUUGUUUGGGAUAGCAUUUUGGCCUCUUAUGCCUGGAAGAUUCUUUAAUUUGGUUUGAGAAGAUAAUUACUUGCCUUUGUUUUUUACUGUUCAUAUGAUAUAUAAUUUAUUUGGUACUGCCAAUGGUUUGCCUAUGAUUUGUGGAAUUUGAUUGCAAAACUUGUUUUGUUUAGCAUAGGAUCUUACUGUGUUACUCUUUCCUAGCAGAUAACUAUAUAUGCUGUGAGUUGCUUUUUGUGGUUAACUGAGAAGAUGAAAAUCCUAAUGAAAUGAUUUUCAUGUCAGUAUAAAUGCCCUGGACCAGUGGGAUAGUCUUUAGAUUCUACAAACAUGUAGUAAUCAAAACUUAGAUUUAGGGGAUAUAGUUUUUCUGGAAUGAUACUUGAUGUAUAACUGAAAAUUUGUGAGUUUGAUUCAUGCAGAUUGAUGUUUUCCUAAUAUGCUCGAAUGCAAUGCAGUAUAAUGCACCAGAUACAAUUUACUUUCGACAGGUUUGUCUAGGUCUCAAUUGUAUUAAUUCCUUUGUCAUGAUACUGUGGUCUCUGUUAUUUUAAACGUCUGGAUUGGAUGGUUAGGCACGAUCAAUGCAGGAGCUGGCUAGAAAGGACUUUGAGAAUUUGAGGCAAGAUAGUGAUGAAGGUGAACCACAAGUGAAAGUUGUGAGGAGAGGAAGGCCACCUGGAAAGAGCCUCAAAAAGUCAUUGGUUUCAUCGUCAUCUAUUGACCAUGUUGGUUCUGAGUACUCCUCAGAUGCAACACUAGCUGCUGGACGAGAUGCUUCUAGCCUUUCAAACACUUACAAUUUGAGGAAAGCACCUAAUUCCCUC
rnacentral:lncRNA from 1 species